UACGGGGGGAGCAAGCGUUGUUCGGAUUUACUGGGCGUAAAGGGCGCGUAGGCGGCAAUUCAAGUCAUCUGUGAAAUCUCCGGGCUUAACCCGGAACGGUCAGAUGAUACUGCUUUGCUAGAGUGCGGAAGGGGCAAUCGGAAUUCUCGGUGUAGCGGUGAAAUGCGUAGAUAUCGAGAGGAACACCAGAGGUGAAGACGGGUUGCUGGGCCGACACUGACGCUGAUAGCGCGAAAGCCAGGGGAGCAAACGGGG
rnacentral:rRNA from 1 species